rnacentral:rRNA from 1 species
CACGUAGGGGGCGAGCGUUGUCCGGAUUUAUUGGGCGUAAAGAGCUCGUAGGCGGCUCGGUAAGUCGGGUGUGAAACCUCCAGGCUCAACCUGGAGACGCCACCUGAUACUGCUGUGGCUAGAGUCCGGUAGGGGAGUGUGGAACUCCUGGUGUAGCGGUGAAAUGCGCAGAUAUCAGGAGGAACACCAGCGGCGAAGGCGGCGCUCUGGGCCGGAACUGACGCUGAGGAGCGAAAGCGUGGGUAGCAAACAGG